AAAGACUUUACCAACUUGCACACCUUGGCUUCAUUUUUUAGUAGGGUAAACCAUUUGGGUUGUUCCAUAUAAACCUCCUCAUCGAGAUCACCAUUAAGAAUGUCGUUUUAACAUCCAUUUGAUGAACAUGCAAGUCAUGUAUCAUAGCCAAUCCGAAUAAUAUCCUAAAUGAUGUUAUUCUAGCUACCGGUGUAUAAGUAUCAAAAUAGUGUAUUCCUUCAUUUUGUCGAUAACCUUUAACUACUAGUCUAGUCUUAAAGGUAUUAAGAGAACAAUCAACAUUAUACUUUCUCUUAAACUCCCAUUUAUAUCCAAUAGGUUUGGAUCUAGGUGGUAACUCGACAAGUUUCUAUAGCCUCUCUAUAAGUUUUAGGACUGGUGUCUACUUGUAGAACAAAAUGAAUUAUUCUUGCAACAUUUUUCUCACUUCCAUCUACUAAGUAGAAGGAAAUAUGUUUAGAGUCAAUUUCCAGUUCUAAAGACUUUUCAAUUAAAGUUCUUUUGUUUCUUC
rnacentral:lncRNA from 1 species